rnacentral:rRNA from 1 species
UACGAAGGGGGCUAGCGUUGCUCGGAAUCACUGGGCGUAAAGCGCACGUAGGCGGCUUCUUAAGUCAGGGGUGAAAUCCUGGAGCUCAACCUCGGAACUGCCUUUGAUACUGCAAGUCUCGAGUCCGAUAGAGGUGGGUGGAAUUCCUAGUGUAGAGGUGAAAUUCGUAGAUAUUAGGAAGAACACCGGUGGCGAAGGCGGCCCACUGGAUCGGUACUGACGCUGAGGUGCGAAAGCGUGGGGAGCAAACAGG